rnacentral:rRNA from 1 species
UACGGGGGGGGCAAGCGUUGUUCGGAAUUACUGGGCGUAAAGGGUGCGUAGGCGGCUUUCUAAGUUGGAUGUGAAAACUCUGGGCUCAACCCAGAGCCUGCAUCCAAAACUGGAGAGCUUGGGUUCUGGAGGGGAAAGCGGAAUUCCUGGUGUAGCGGUGAAAUGCGUAGAUAUCAGGAGGAACACCGGUGGCGAAGGCGGCUUUCUGGACAGAUACCGACGCUGAGGCACGAAAGCCAGGGGAGCAAACGGG